rnacentral:rRNA from 1 species
CCUACGGGAGGCUGCAGUGGGGAAUAUUGGACAAUGGGCGAAAGCCUGAUCCAGCCAUGCCGCGUGUGUGAAGAAGGCCUUCGGGUUGUAAAGCACUUUCAGUGGGGAAGAAAGCCUUGGGGCUAAUACCCUCGAGGAAGGACAUCACCCACAGAAGAAGCACCGGCUAACUCCGUGCCAGCAGCCGCGGUAAUACGGGAGGGUGCGAGCGUUAAUCGGAAUUACUGGGCGUAAAGCGCGCGUAGGCGGUCUGAUAAGCCGGUUGUGAAAGCCCCGGGCUCAACCUGGGAACGGCAUCCGGAACUGUCAGGCUAGAGUGCAGGAGAGGAAGGUAGAAUUCCCGGUGUAGCGGUGAAAUGCGUAGAGAUCGGGAGGAAUACCAGUGGCGAAGGCGGCCUUCUGGACUGACACUGACGCUGAGGUGCGAAAGCGUGGGUAGCAAACAGGAUUAGAUACCCCUGUAGUC